AAACAUCUGCACCUCCUUGUGCCCUGAGGUGCCUGCUUUGGGCACGGCUCAGGGCAGGUGCCCAUCACUCGCAGUCCCCAUGGCAGAAGCAGGGAGGAGCACUGUGAGGCAGGCUUGUCCAGAACCUGUGCUCCUACCUGUAGCGAGAGCCAUCAGCAAGGGGCUGCAGAGGCAAUCAGCACAGAUCUGGUAUAGGCUGCCAGUGAGCCUGGCAGUGGUUCAGUGGGGAAUCACUGAAAGAGAGAGUAAUCUUUACACCACAUCUGCCUUCCUGGAAGAGUAGGCACUGCCAUGUACCAGAGUAGCUCUGCCAGAUGCAGCAGCCCGCUCUCUCCUAUUGGCCCUCCAAGGAAGGAAACUGUUUCACAGUUGCUGCUUGGUUUCUACAAAAAUACUGGAGAUGCUAAGACAUUCCAAACCAGCGUGACCCCAUAAUGCUCACAUUCUGUUAUGUGCUUUUGAUCCAGACACAAUGUCUCACUCAUCUCCCUUCCCACUUUGGAUAUUGCACUGGUUUUGUUUCUAAAAGAAUGUACCCUGAAAAUGUGGGUGGAGGUUGUGCAUAUGUAUGUCUGAAAUUGCUCUGUCAUUUCUGUACUCCCCCAGUGCAAGUGUUGCUUAGCCUGGGUUAAUAACACAGGCGGCACUGAGGAUCGAAAGCUGCAUUUCAAGUAAUGUAUCUGGCAUUGUGUCCGAAACAGGAAAGAGGACAGCUCAUUCUGUGCCAUCAUGAACAAUGAUGCACAAACUACCUUCCGCGGUUUUAAUUGCCUUCAUCUUGUCCGCCUGCCUUGCAUAUUGAAACCCAAGUGCAUGCAGGGUUGGUGGUUUCAAAUACUUGCUAUGAGAUCCCCUGCUUGCACUCCCACAGGAAAUCUUCCUAGCUUCUGGUUUCUUUGUCAUCCCAGUCAUUUUCCAAAGACAUGCUUCCUGCUGGUACUGACAGCAAAAUUAUUCCUGCCAGAACUGAUGGCUAAACCUUGGCUAACGCAUAUUGACCAUGGUUGAGGCUCAGUCCUGCAGUGUCACCCCUCUACCAGAUCUUGAAGCUGCUACCCAUCAGCGUCCCCAUGCCAUGAGGCUGCUAUACUCCAGCCCGUGGGAUGAAGCAAAGAGCAUCCUCACCAUAAAAUGCAGCUCCUGGCCCAUUGGGAGCAUUGCACAUAUGUGAGGGCUCUUCUCCAAGGCCUGGGAGACCCUGCAGGCACCCUUCCCAAUUCUGAUCCUAUUUCCUGGGAAAGUACUCUUAGAACCCCAAAGGAGGAAACUGGGAGUUACAUGGGUCAGAUGAACUUCUCAGAAGAAUAGGAGAACAACUGAUUGAACUGUUUAUAAACAUCUAGAAAGAAAAAGGAAAUGAGAAGCAACCAGUGUGGGUUUCCAGGAACAAAAGAUAAAGUUGUCUUGUGAGGGAUAAGAAAGUCUCGGGCACAGGAGUAGCUGUAGGAAUUUGUGGUGUCUUUGGUAAGAAGUUUGACUCUUUUUUGUUACACUGAUGAUUAAAGAUCUGUAUGAAAUCACUGCUAGACAGAAGCAGAGCAAGUUGAGUGAUUAUUGAUGGUUUGGUGACAAAAUGGAAGGACCUGUCCUAAAUUCAGCACCUCUCUGCAGUUCCAGAGCUCCAAGUGUUUUGAACACAGUUGACUGUGAGCUUGGCAACACUGAUGCUCCUUUUGAGGCAAGGUAUCUCAGGCACUUUCUGGCUCUUCUCAGUAGUCUUUGGCUCUAAUUUAAAGGGCUGGCAUCUACUUGGAGCGCAGUGCUAGCAGAGAUCUGCUGUUGCUCUCGUUGGUGCCAUCAGGUAGUACAACUUAUACCCAGUGCUGUCCUUUCAUGUGCAGUUCCUUAUUGUCCACCGACAGCUAUCUUUACCUUGGGGGUCUUGGCUCAUGCAAUCUGAUGAAGCAGAAUAGCAGGAAAUAGCAACUGAAGACUCGUAGUUGUGCAAGAGUGUAGCAGAAAUGCUAAGUCACAGCAUGAAGCAGUGAUUGAGCACCUGGUGGGAAGGCAGGGCCAACCCAGGGGAGUUCAGGUGCGUGCAAUGAACCUGAGUGACCUGAAGGGCUGGAGCCAGGAUCCACACAUUCCCAGGCCUCAUUUAAGGGCUGGCAGUGGAGGUGAGGGUAUCUUGCUGGAGAUCUGUGCCUACCUGAGACCUUCCAAAGCUGCAGCCUUCAGGAUAGGCUCCUGCGCCAAUACUGAGCGGAAAGACCGUUGAGUAUUUUUACCAUGAGACCACGGGAACGGUGAGUUAUGACUCUGGCAUUUCAUGACAACUUUUUCUUGGUAAAUUAUCCCCUUCUUGUGUAGUGCUCAGGGAUUCUGUGCUUUUUUUAAGUCCAUGUGAUAUUUUUAGACAUUCUUAUAGUGCUCUAAUUUUAGUAGCUUUUGCAACAUAUUACUCACUCUGCAAAAGGGAAGAGUUCACUCCCCUGAGUUCUUUCCCCUGCCAACACAAACUCUCCCACUAAGGCUGGAAGAGGAGAAGAGCCCACGUUGUCUUGUUUCAUAGCAUUUCCUUCCCUUUGCCCCUGCUGCCCGGAGCAGGGAAGGAGCUGCGUGUAUUGUAUUAACUGCUCUUUUAUUAACAGCUGUCACAGCCACAAGAGCUGGGAUGCGGUUGGGUCAGUGCAAAAAAAGCCAGAUACACCAAGGUGAUGCAGAACCCCUGACCUGUGGGCAGGCUGACCUGUGGGCAGGAGCUAGGAGCUGGUUCACGCCCAUUGUGCCAAGCCAAUAAGCACACAGAGUCAGAAUCCCAUAGAGGUCCUCUAUUCUUAGCAACCUGUGGUGCAGAGGCACGUGGACGCAUUUCCUUUGAGAUUUGAGGAGGAAAAGCAUUUGCUCAUGCCUUAACUUGCUUCAACUUGUCUGACCUGGGUAUAGCACUCAGCAAAGUCCCUGCAGGGUUUGCCCAUGACCGGGCUGCUUCUCCACCUUCCCAGCCUGUGCCUGCAGCUGUGCCAUCUCCUCCAAACUUUGCCCAAUGGAACCAUCGUCAGUGCUCCUUGCACUGGCCAGAGGAAGAGAAACCAGACUGCAGCUUCAGGAGGGGGAGGCCUGGCUGCCAUGUCAUGGGCAUGGCUUGGAGCCAGCCCUGCCCUAGCCCUUUGCCCUGGCUUGCCCAUCUGUUCAGGGCAGGAGCAUCCCUCUGGGACAGGCACAUGUUCUCCUUAGGGCAGCGCCAGUGACAACCACAGCGCAGGAUGUCUCUCACUCACUGUCUCCCCAUGACUCAACUAGGUCAACCAAAGGCAGGCGGCAGGCAAGCAAGGAGGCAGCUGUAGUGCAAGUGGGGCUUUCUCAGCUCUGAUGGCUCUGGUUGAUUUGGCAUUUCUUCUGGCCCCAAUUUGAAGAUGGGAGUGAUGGGAAGUCUGAUCACACUUUGGUCUGCUCUUUCACACAUCCUUAGGAGUUCCCUGUGUGACAUAUUUAUGAACCAUUAUGAACCUGUGUGCCCAGCAGGCUGGUGCAGUGUCAGCAUGCUGCAAGGGUUACCUCCAGCUGGUGUUCCCCUAGGUGGCAUGGUGGAGUGUGGAAGUACCCAUGAGAGGUCUUGUUGUGUUCCAGGUGCCAUCACACCUCAGACAGCUCACACAGCACUUUACCAAGACAUGGGCACAAAACACUCCCAGCCUUUUUUUGCUAAUUCCCCUUCUUGUGUUUCUCCCAGCAGGAAUGGCACCACAAUAAUAGUUAUAAUGGGUGAGUAGCAUUUAUGGUUAUGCCUCAUCAGUGACAACAUUGCUGUCUAAAAAAUCAGCGUAGGUCUGAAUAGAGAUGCUGGUUGAUACCGGAAAAUAAAGCCCCUGUGUUUUUAUGGGACACCCACCCCUGGCUUUUGUGAUGCAUCAGCCCUGCUUGGCAGGCAUUGCUUUCCUAUGGUAACACUGGAGUGAGUGGGUCCAUUUUAAACCCAUUGUCCCCAAGGCAUCAGGUCAGCAGGAGAGUUGGAACUGCUGCUUCUUGAUCUGCUUUGCUUCCCAGUAUUUUAUAUGUUGUUUGUUUGUUUGUUUGUUUUACUGCACUUAUGCUGAGAAGCCAAAGUUUUUGUGGGGGGUGAGGGAAGGUAAUUGGUGGUUGAACAAAAAAAUUUUUAAAAAUCCCAGAGAAGUUCAGCUGAUAAUGCAGAGGAGUCAUCUGCGUAGUGCUAGGAGAGGGCGCAGUCAUGUCUCUCCAGCCAGUGAUAUCAUCAAUACCACUAUGACUUGUGCAGAAUAUAGGUUGGAACAAACAGAAUUGCCGGUGUUGGCUGGAAACGUUCAGGUGCAGUGUGUGUCUGCAGGCAGCUGCAUGGCCAAACAGCAGCCUCAGUCACACAACAGUCCCUGGUUGAGAGCUGAACUUGGGUGCUAAAACUCCCCUAGCAUGUCCAGAGAGCCGUGGCACUUUCUGGCACUCCUCCAGCUACCAUUUUAUCCAGCGAAUGAGCAGUUGAAGCAAACUUUGUCAUUCCUAAUCGCAUCAUCCACCUUUGGGAAGCCCUGGUCAAGGAAGGCAGGCAGGCUGCCUGCAUCUUUUCACAUCUCAUAUCCAGUCCUAGGCUGCUAAAGAUUAGGAUCCCAUCCUCAGCUAGAUACUGAUGCAGAGAUGUGAUCUGGCCAUGGGGGAGGCAGCCGAGUGAUGAGGUUGGCUUUCAGUCUCACAGGCAUGGGGAAGCUGCUGGAGGCACUUGCUGUCUGGGAAGCCAGCUCCUCUGCAGCAGGUGGCUGCAGCAAGGAAUCGUGUAAGCUCCCAGGAGAGCAGCGUUGCUCGCUGGUGCUUAUAGUUGUGGUUACUCAGCACUGUCACAUGCCCUGGUUGGUACUGAAUCCAAGAGAAAUGAGUUUGUUUGUCUUGGGUUUCCUGUGGGUUCUUGCAUUAUGAAUUCCUUUGAGUUACUGGAUCUUGACUUUCUCUGAGACUAGUGCUCUCAUUUACUGCACGCAAGGUCCAAGAGAGGAUAAACUACAGGACAUAAUCACGGGGAGUAGCAGCAGUAGGAUGGUGAUGGCUCUGUCAUACAUCAACUUGAUAAGGUCAGCCACAUCGUCCUCAUGGAGAGCAGCCAAGGUGCUCCAGGUGCAGCUGAGGUAACAGUUCCUUCCCUCACAGUCCCCAUGCUCCUGAAAACAGCACUGUGUUCCCAUACAAACUGUAAUAAUUUGGAUGUUUUGAAAGGUCCUUGCCAGCGGUGAGGGACUCCAGACACACUUCUGUGUUGCAGUACUGCUUCCCGUUAGGCUUGCAUGUGAUUUUCUUUUCUUUAGUGCUUCACCAAGAUUCUACUACCCCACUGCGAAGCACAUCUCAUCUGUGCAGCUGUCUUUGGGAAAAGGGCUAUUAACCUCCUGUAUUAUUUAAAAAAAAAAAAAUGGGAUCUGCAAGCACAGUAUCUGUAAUGCACAGCACAGGGGUGUGAGAUGGUGUUGUGGGUUCGAGCCUGUUCUCACCAUUAACCUGUCUUCUCAGGUCUGUGCCAGCACUGGGGUAUGCCCCCUGCCCUUGAUGUCCCCAACCCUAACCCUGCCACUGCUACCAGCUUCACGCCUGUGACGCCAAUGGUUGUGACAGCAGGAAAGAUGAUCUCCUCCAGUCAUCUGGCCUGCAGCCACGUCAUCUCUUCAUCAGCCUUUGGGGAGUGCUUCCCACCCUGCACAUGGCUGGAGGCCGGUGUCUCUGGCCAGGGGCUGCUGCCUUGGGUCUCUGCCCCCGGUGCUCUGACUCACCAAGAUGAGUCUGAAACAAAGAGCUCUCGUAAAAUCUACAGGAAGAUGUAUGCGAAGAUAGAGAUCUCAUUUACCGAGACACCACCAACUCCUCACUGGAAUCAGCAAAUGAAAAAGUAGCACUCUUGUGCCCAGCAAAACCCCAGACCUGCUUACUGGGUAAACUCUGAGCCAGGUAGGAGUAGGGCACAGCAGAGACAUGAAGCAGUGAGCUUCAGGCUAGCGAUCCCAGGAGAGAAUUGGAUGUGAGAUGAGGUACUUCAAAAACAUCUGAAAUGAGCAGAAAAACCACAGAUAGGGACAGGGUGAAGAUGUGGCUAAACUGCUGAGGAAUUCCCCCCAUGGAGUGCACCACGCAUCACCGUUAGCUGCUGCCUCCCAGCCCCACACGGCCACCAUGGAGCCAAGGGGAGGCUUGGGGGGAUUUCUGCAGGGACUGGGGCAGCACAUGGGGCAGCACAUUGGGAAGCAGAGCCUCAUGCAGCAACCCCAACUUACAGCUCCAUUUCUCCAGACUGUAAAUGAGACAGAGUACAGCACGCACUUGCUUCAGCCGCGCAGGGCAGGUGGCACUGCUAUCAUGCCCUGACAUGCCUUAGACAUGCCUCCAUGCUCUGCUAUCUGAAAGGGAUCCUUAGCUUUCUUCCCUCCCUGGUUUCAGUUUUGAAAGCAGCAGCAGCUCCAUACCACAGAUGUGGCAGGAGAUGCUCUUACAGUCCCCUCAGUGCCCGGGCGAGAGGUCAGCCUGGUCCACAACUUCAGCCCAAGGCAGAGGGCAGCGUGAGGCUGAGGGCACACUUCCAGAGGGACUGGAUGGUUGUUUUGAGAAAACACUGGGAAAGGGCUCAUUCCAGCCCCUGCUGCAGUGCAGGCUCUGAGGGGCAUCCACUGUUUUUUUUCCUCUACAGUUGUCAUUGUCGGAAACCAUUAAGGAAUGAGCCAGCAAAGGCCCGGAAAGAUUCCACGAGUAAUAAUCUUGGAGCUUUGCCCAGGCUUAACAACAGAAUAACAAACAACAACAUGAACAAAGGGAGAGCAGGCUGUGCACCAAGAGGUCUCCAGUGGCAGCAGGAUCUAUGAAGUAAGUCCAUUCUUUUGGAACCUGCAGCACCCCACAAUGCACAACCCUUCUUCCACACACAGGUGAAGAGGACUGCAAUAUUAUCACCCACUCAUUCUAUGCCUUCUGCCUCUCCGAUGCUUUGCUGUCUUCCUUUGGGAACAAGGAUGCUGAAGAUAGCAGGACUACACCAGCUGUUUUGGAAACAGGAUGCUCUGCUUGAGCGUCAGCAGUGCUGCCUUUGCAGCAGGCAGGAGUGAAACUGAGAAACCCAAAGCAAAGGGAUAAUGCAGCUGCUGUGUGAACAGCUCCAGGAUGCUGAGCUCAGCUGUAAGUGGGGGUGUGGGGACAGGCAGUGGCACAUCCUUGCCCUUCAAAUGCAGGCCAGGAAAGGGAACCAUAUCUCAGCAAGGCACCUCGCACAGGGACCAGGCUGCUCCCUGGGGCACUGCACUGCUGUGGGGCAGGAACAGGGCCAGCCACAGGAGGGAUGCACACAGCUGCAACACAGAAGAAAACUAGAGGUGAGGUGCUGACAGAGGCAGCCCAGAAGAGGUGGAGGUGCCCAAGACUAGGCUGGAUGGGGCCCUGGACAGCCUGAUAUGGUGGGAGCAGCCAGCUCAUGGCAGGGGGUUGGAACAGGGUGAGCAUUAAAGUCCCUUCUAACCAAAACCAUUCUGCGAUCCUAUAAAAGCCUACUUAAGCCCAAAAGACUUGUAUCUGAACAUCAACCCUGUAUGUUUUAAGUGGAUGAGGAUGGAGAGAAAGCUGGUGGGUGAGCAUUAGUCUGAAACCAAAACUUAAUCUGUGACACGCUUUAAAAACAAACAAAUAUGACAACUUGAAACAAUCUUCUGGUGAAUAUUUUGGAGAAAGCGAGGGCAGAGGUAAAUAUAAAGCAGGCUGAUCUGCCUUGUGAUUUCUUUCUGGUGGGAAAAUAGCAUUUCUAAUAAGAAAUGAAAGUUUCAGUGGAAAACGUCUGAAAUGUUGCUUUUCCCUAAAGCAACAUGAGAGUAUCUGCUACCAUCAGCACUUCACACUGAGAAACAAGUCCAUAGUUCACAGCAACACCUACUCCCUGCUGGCUUUGCUAAAUGCUGGCUGGAAGAUCCACUCCUGAGACAGACACCAAGCACCCUGGGAGACUGCUGUUGUCCAGCAGACAAAUGGAAAGCCCUCAAGCAGGCUUAUCUACCAUCAGCUGCAGCAGGGUGAAGGUGCCGGGAAGACUCCUCAGACAGGGCCAAGCCAGCCACCAUGUAGGAUGCAACAGUACCUUACUGCAUGGCACAUGGCAGGAGGCAUAAGGAAGAACAAGGAAAAAAGGCCACAGCUCAUACUUGGAUAGGAACAUGGCUGCAGCACUCUAGAGCAAGGACUGAAGGUCAUCGUAGGGCUGAUAAAGGUUUUGGGUUGUUCCAUGGCACAACCAGCAACCUUUCCUGUAGGCAAAGGUGGCCCAGCUCCCCUUCUCUUUCUGCUUAUCGAAGUGGAGUUUCAGAAGUGGCAUGUCAUUGCACAGAAACAGAUAUCUGAUUCCGGGCACUUUUAAAUGCAACAAAGACAUAGAAAAACCCACCAACAGGAAACUGGUUUCAGCAAUUCAAAUGGAAACAAUGCUUUAAUAAUAGCUAGCCCUUUUAUAACGUACAGCAGUCAAGGCAGUCACUGAGCUGACACUUGUCCUCUUCAGCGAUGAUCCCUGCAGCACCACUCAGACACCAGGCCAGAGGUGGCCAGGCGAGCCCUCGAGCACCUUCUGGCCAGCCAGCAAAGGAAAGGGCAGGGUGGAGGGCAAUGCCUUCUAAUUGUUUCAACAUGCUGUACCCCUGCUGUUACAGGAAGGCCAGUGCUUCAACAAGAGACCCAGAGGCUCUUGUUGUACCACUGACACAUAAACCCUUUUAGCUUACAUGGCCCUCAGCUAGAACAAGCACAGGCCUCCAGCACUUCACAUGAGCGUCUCAGUCUAUGAGUGUGAAAACCCCAUCAGCCAGAUGCUAUCUAGAGACAAAUUCAUUUCCCAGCAAUAAAUUAAUCAAAAUACUGUAAAAGAGAACUUCACUUGCAUGAAGCAUUUCUCAGUGAAAAGAUUCUUACAGAUAGAUUCAUACAGUUAAAACUCACUUCAGCCUGUUGUGAACUAGAAAAAAGGAAACCAUCCAAUUAGAACCUUUGACUGCAACCAAAUUCAGUCCCAGGACUGCAGGUAAGUUACAGAGGCUGCUCAGGGGUGGCCAGCAGAAAGCUGCACCUUGCUUCUGACAAACAGCCUCACCUGGAGCACGAGGGAUGCAUAGACACACCACACAACUCCUCAAAAGAUGCAAAGUCUUGAAGGAAACUCUCUUGCACUGCUCUCUCAACAUGAACUAAGAUCUCCUUGUGUCUCCCUACCAUGGGACUGUGUUUGGACACAAGAGAUGUGAGUUUCUUGCAACCUUCUUGCAGCUGUGCAAGUAAGGUGGGGAUUACCAAGUAAACAACAUUCCCUUGAGCCUGUGUUUGUCUCAAGGUUUGGUAAAUAUUGGCCUUCUCAGACAGGAUGGGUGCAUUUACCUGAUCCAGCCCAGCUUCCCUGUCCCAGGAGGAGAGCAGAACCUUUUUUCAAACCCCAGUUUGGGGCUCCUGGGCAUUCACAAAUACAGUGAUUUUUUUUUUUCCCCCCCCACAGAUUAAAGGAAAACUAGACAGUGAGUAUGAUAAGAAGCUCUAGCCUGCGCUACAGUGAGAGAUCCCUGAUGCAAAGAAAGGUGCAGGACUGGAAAAAGCCUUCAGUGGUGAAGAUGUCUGGAAAGCAGGACAGAUUGCCAAAGAUAAGUGAAAGCUUCCAUUGUUAGUUUUUAGAAUAACAUCCAUCAGGAAGAGCUUAGGUCAAGCUCAGCCUACAUGGGUCUUGGCGCACAAAUCUCCCACCCUAUGAAACAGGGCUGACACUUUCCUUAUUCAAGUUUUUUUUGUGCAGCAGGUGUCCCAGUUAACCUGCUUUCUGUAGUGUGGAACUGAUGACUCAGCUCUUCAGAACAAGAGGCUCUGUCUGCAGAGCCUUCCUUCUAGCACAUACAAACAAAAGAGAGCAGCACUUCUUUUGCUGUGCUUCACUGUGUUUUGGAACUCACUUGUGAUGCUCUCAGAGGCUCCAUGCUCCUUUCAGACCUGAAAUCCUCACAGCUGCCACAAAGUUUCUAGCAAACAAACUCAGAGCUUUCAUUUCACACCGGAAACAACAAUUAUGUGGGAAAUCCCCCUCCCACACUCCAGAGUCCAUACUUUGAGUAGCUAGAGCUCACCAUAUACAGCUAUAUAGGUUCAGUGUUGGUUUUAAGAUCUACAAUGUAAAAAGUCACUGGGGUAAACUUUUAAGAUAAGCAUACCAAGCCAGUUCAGAUUGAGCCCUCAAAUAUAAAAAUGGCAGCAGAGACCAGGGGACCAAAACAAGCCUUCAUUCUCCUCCUCCCCCUACCCUCUUGCUCAACCUCACACUGCCCUACAUCAGUAAAUACAACCUACCAAGCGUAGAGCUGCUCUCAUUCUGCCAGGCCCUGAGUUCUCUGCAGUUGCCUUUCCCAGCUUCUCCAUUAUCCUGAAGUGGUCUUCUCAGGAUGGGAGCUGCUGCUAUCUGUACAGACACUGUCUAUGCCUAACAUGACUUGCUAUGCCUAAAUCCAGUGCUCAUCCCUUAAGAGGAUGCAGGAGAACCACCUGCCCAGCUACUGCUGCAACUCUGGUCUAACACAAGCACUGGUUCAUGAAAUGAAGUUAUAGGCAGGUAACCAAGAAACACAGUAGGGAUACACAUUCUCCUCAGUUAAGGGUGCAACAGCAAAGGAAAUUGCAUGGGAAAGGGAAUAAAAAUAACAGUUCUCUUUUUCCAAUACUUUCCAAAGGAAAAGCAGAAUGAAGAGGAUCCAUAAGCUUCCUCUUCCAUUUUCUCCCAGAGGAAGCUUUUCCAAUUCCACUAUCCACAUGGCACAAGAACAAAGAACCAAGUCAUCUUUCAGCAGAUACAUGUAUAGGUAUGGUUAAAAACCCAGUGAAUUAACUUCUAAUAUGAGAAUGCUUAAUAUGCCUUCAUAAGCCCAUUCCCUUUGGCACCUAAAGAGCACAGAGAUGACACAGGAGACAGUAAUGCAGCUGAAACACCACAUGCAGAGUCCAUACCCUUCUACAACCUGACCUGAAUGGCUCCUUGCAAAAUUAAGAUUGAAUCUGCUAUCCCAUCUCAGGGAUGGUGAAGCUGCUUGCUGGGAUGUCUGAAUCCUUAGCUGUACUGACAGGCACAGGGGCUGCUUCUUGCCCGAAGUCCAGGCAGCUCCUGCAAUAUUUGAACACUACCCUAAAAUAGGAUUAGACAAGGACUAGGGCUGAGGGGAAAACACUACCCCAGAACCCUGAUUUUACUGUUUUAGUAACUGGUGAGAGAUCCCAUGACAGCUGGUGCUCAUCUUUCAUAUUUUUGUGAUGCAGAAUAGUUCAGAAGACAGGCUACAAGAGAUUUUUUCCAUUUUACUUUGUUUUCUCAUCUUCUAAUCCAAAGUUUCCUCAACAUGUCACACAACUGUUCAUCUUCACGUCCUAACAGUCAACUGUUUCCACUUAAAUGAAUGGAAAGGACCACCUGCAAGAGAAGCUGGACAAGGCUCACGCAGGCUGAACUCAGAAGGGAAACUACCUCAGGGGGAUGGCAAGGAGACAGUUAUCACAUUCAGAAAUAGACACACACAAUUUAAAACCAACUCUACACCCUCACAUUUAUUUCUCUUAAAAAAAAACAACAAACAAAAACAGAA